GGAGGGAUGUCCGAGCGGUUUAAGGAACCGGUCUUGAAAACCGGCGUGGGUGCAAGCCCACCGUGGGUUCGAAUCCCACUCCCUCCGCCA
rnacentral:tRNA from 1 species